rnacentral:snoRNA from 1 species
GCGAAUACUCAAUAUCAUUCAAAGUCAAUUCUUCAUUUGACCUCUAAUUGGCAGCGGAAGGUCAUUUUCUGAAGUCGAAUGCGAUUUUAGAAAAUGACCUUCCAAUGUCAAUUAGAGUCAAAUGAAGAAUUGACCUUGAAUGAGCUUGAGUAUUCGAAAUUAUGGUGGUGCAAUCU